rnacentral:lncRNA from 1 species
GGGCGGCUCCCAACCGGACCGGCAGCCAGUUCGCAAGGGGCGCAGAAAGUUUGGCUGGCUGCCUCGGCGCAACCGGUGUCCCCGCUGGCCUCUGCCGCCGUUGCUCCAGCUUGCUUGCCUCCCGCCUCGCCCGGAGCCGGGCAGUUGGGCCGGGCCCUUCCCCCCCUCCUCCUCCCCACAUCCUUCUGCCUGUCCCGGAAUCGGGGCCCGGGUGACGUCAGCCCAGCCCGCCUCCCCGCCCGGUUUGGUUAUGAGUCACCCGGCCGGGGCGCAGUGCCUUCGGCAGGGGCGGCCGGCAAGAGCACAGGCAGCAGCAGCGCGGGAACCCGCCGGGGACGAAGUCCAGCCGGACCGGAGGACCAAGCAGAGGGUCGAGAGGGUGGCCCGAGGCCCUUCGCAGCUCUCUGGAAGCCCCUCGGUGUUCCCCUCCGGGCACAGGACCCUCCCACAGGACCGGACAGCCCCAGUUGGUGCCACACCACAGGCGAGCGGCUGGGCUCGGCUCGCCCGCCCUGCUGGGAGCCCUCCUUUCUUGGUCUUGCCCGUGGAGGAGGAUGCCCUGCCCGGAUCUUCUCUUGCUGCUGCUCCUGCUUCAUCAGGGUAAGUCCCAGCCGGCAGGAUUUCUCUGCCAGGGGUGUGUUCUCACCUCCUGUUUUGAACCCUUCCCAGCUUUCCCGCUGCUUUUUCCAUCUCUUUCCUUUUUUAACCACAAGCAUCUAUUCUAUCAAAGAGGAAACCAUGCGCCAGCUGCACGCUGCGCCAGCUGCACGCCUUCCUGGGCUGGCGACCUCCGUGGGAGAGCCACCCACCCACCUCCGGGCACCCCAGGGUUUCUCCCACGACCACCCCCGCUGCCCUUGGGCUCUCACGCUGCGCUGGCUGCCCGCCCGCCAGGCAGGUUCUCCUUUAAUCCCGCGCAGCACCCAAGGAGACACCUGCAGGAGAGCCGCCAGGGAGAAGGCGCCUGGCCUGGCCGGUGGGGCGGUGGGGCGCUGCUGGGCUCGAUGUCCGAGAUGGGCCGCCUGGGGUCCAUCAGCCCGGCUGGCAACAGCAGCCAGCCAGGGGGUGCUGAGACAAAAAACGGGGCCGCAGGAGGAAAAAGGGCUUUUUGCCCCCACCGGUAAAGAUUCCACUCAGUGGCUGCCUUUUUAAAGCUAAAAGGCGCCACCACUCACCCAGUUUUUUUCUCCAACUACGAAUCCUAGAUGUUGUGGACUCCCCCUUGGCGAUCUCAGUCCCCCUUGGCGCAGCCCCUUCCCCAUCCACUCUCGCGAGGCGGUGGGGGGAUAUCUCCCAGGGCUGGAAGUGCCCCCCCCCGGGCCUGCACUUCGGGUCCGGCCCCGGCAGCUNNNNNNNNNNNNNNNNNNNNNNNNNNNNNNNNNNNNNNNNNNNNNNNNNNNNNNNNNNNNNCGCUUCGGGUCCGGCCCCGGCAGCCGGUUGGACCCCGCCCUUCCCAUCGCGCGUCUCCUGCCCUUGGGUGGGGGGGGGAGGGGGCGUAGCCGCGCUUGGGGCGCCUCGGACCCCCUGCUCCGACCUCUCCGGGAGGGGAAGGAGGGGGCCCCGGCGGCGCGCUGCUCCUCUGUGCGGGCGCCCUAGCCCCGCGCCUGACGCUGGCCGGGCGGCUUUGCUCUCUCCUCCCUUUGCAACAUAUCCAACGGAGUCUAUGUAACAUGGCAACCCAGAGUGACGGGUACAGGCUGGUGAGAAACUGCUUGGCUGUGGGGAUAGGGUUUGCACACGGCAUCACCUUGCCUACAGGUGCACACAGCGCAGGAGCUACAGCAC